UUUGACUUUAAAAUUAUUCACGACUUAUAUUCAAGGUUUGAUAGUCUUUAAUUGUUUAAUAUUUAAAUAUGAAUGGUAUGUAUAUUCUAAGUCUGAACUUGCAAUGAAGAAAAUUAUUGGUAAUAAUAACAAUUUCUACAUUUUUUAUUACAACAAAAAGUCUUUCUCUGAGAUGUAUGCAUUCAGAAAUAUUACUUACUUAAAAGUCUUAAUUGAAAUGCAAUUUCCAUAUUAAUUAUACAGUUUUUAAGAUCCGUAAAAGUAUAGCUUUAGUCAUAUCCUUUGUUAAAUGCUUUACGUUUCAAAUGUUUUUCAGAGUUGAAAAUAAUUUCCUUCCUUGUUCAAAUCUAAUGCAGGUGGAUGACUAUGCUGCGAUCAGUUUCAUUCUUCUUAAAUAAUUUUUAGCAUAUUAUUGUAACGUUUCUCACUAUCCAGGUUUUCUGCAAACUGCACCACUCGACACAACCAAUUCAAAGAUUAUGACAACUCAGGGCUCCAAAGUAAUGUAGAAAUUUAAUGUCAAAUAAAUGACAGCCAAUACUGUACCAUUGGCAACAACGUAACACUGACUGUACAAAAACUUCGCUUCUUCCUUGCCUUAUACUCAAUUCUCUCUUCCGGAUCGACUUCACUCCAUGCUGGUUAUGUUUCUGACUUUGCCUCGUACUUGUGAAAUAGCAAGGUAAUGUUAAAUGACUUUUUGACUCUGACACAUUCGCUCUUAUAUAGGCCUCUUAAAAGCCUUCUAGAACUGGAUGGAACAUCGUUUGACUAUUCUGGUUAAUUAUAUGACUACAUUCGACAUGACUUGUCUGAUUCCUAUUCAUAACACAGGUCCUUCCCGAACCGGCGUGUACUGUAACUCAUCUCGGUUAACUGUUUGUCCAGCGCUGGCCUGGGGCCAUUUGCGUCAACUAAAAACACACACAGCACUACCCCCCAUCUAUGUCACCUCCAGGUUUGUAAUAUUAUUGUGCACUGGGUUUUCAAAGCCGACUCUUCUUCAACUUUUUGCUGCUGAGCUGUAAGCUCUUAUGCGGUCUAUGCCAAGGGGAAAAAAAGCAUGCUGAAGAAAACAGACAGCGAGUUGGCUAUACUGAUUUGUUGCGAUAAUAGGGUCUGUCUAAGUGAAAUAAAUUAGGAAAUUCAAAGAGGAUAUGAUUGACAGUUUUAUAAGGGUGGUUGCAAUAUCCACAGACUGGUGAGAGUGUGGGACUUAUUAUGUUAAGGUGAAAAUUUAAAGAUAUGUCUCCUGUUUUUAGUUGAAAUGUCGUAGAUUUGCUCUUUGCAGGGGAGAAUUAGAUAGUUUGGAGUUUGCUUGACAUGGUCGUUUCUCUGUACCUAGCUCAACUUACUAUGCGGAAACAAGUAUCUUCUACAUUUACUAAAAAAAUGUGUUUAUUCUUAGCUACUGGUUGUGUGAUAGGCCUUUCUGGGCCAAGUUUAUACACUGCCAGCUUCCAUCCCUUGGUUUCCUAGAUUUGAGCCAGGAGAUAGUAAUCUUUGUUUUUGAAGGAAUGUCUGAAACUAUCCUCUGUUUCUGCAUGUUUCUAUAUAAUUUAUUUUUCCUCUACAGGUGAUCAAAGAUUUUUUCAAUGAAACCUACUUUGAUAGGUAUGAUGAAGUCAUGUCAGACUCACUGCUUACAAUGCUCUGGGCAAUGACUGUGACCCUUUUUUGUGUUGGGGGCAUGCUGGGAGGAGUUUCUGCUGCAUAUUUUGCCGGGAAAUUUGGAAGUCUGGUAGGCCACCCACGCUUUCAUCUUGCCUUCCACAAGAUGAGCCAUCAUGAUCUUGCCACUGAUGGAGGCAAAUGAGUCUGGUAGGUCAAUGUUGCAUCAAAGUUUGGCCAUUUCCUUCCAUGUUUUGUUUUGUUUUUGUUACAUAGUUUAUGUACAUAUAUUUUUAACCUCCAUUACAGCUAAUCCAACUAUUCCUGCAAUAUACAGUCUUGUAACCUUGACCUUUUCCCCAGAGUCUCCAAAAUAUCUGCUGGUGAAUAAAAGAGAUGAUGAUGCGGCUGAAGCAGCUCUGAUUUGGUUAAGAAAAACAAGCGAUGUGUCUGAAGAGAUGGAGGCCAUAAAGAAAGAACGACAGGACCUCAGGAACUCACCAAAGGUAAUUUUUUUUUAUAUUGCAUUAACUCUAGUACAAUGUCUAAGUGUCAGUUUAAUAAUUACUACUAUUUAAGGUGUGAAAGUAGUGUUUUCACUGUGCUUUAAUUUG